CUCGUAGGCGGUCUGUUACGUCUGCUGUGAAAACCCAGGGCUUAACCCUGGGCUUGCAGUGGAUACGGGCAGACUAGAGGCAGGUAGGGGAGAAUGGAAUUCCCGGUGUAGCGGUGAAAUGCGCAGAUAUCGGGAGGAACACCGGUGGCGAAGGCGGUUCUCUGGGCCUGACCUGACGCUGAGGAGCGAAAGCGUGGGGAGCGAACA
rnacentral:rRNA from 1 species